AUGCAGCGCCGCGCUCGGCAUGGCAGCUCCGGCGAACUCGCCGUGUUUGGAGCGACACGCUACUUCGACGGCCUAGCCGACCUUGCUGCCAGCCCGGUCACUGCAAGGCAGCCUGAACCUAAAGACUUGAUGAUCCAAGUGAAAGCUAUGAUGCAUCACAAGGAGGAAAGCUACCACAGCACCCAGGAGCUGGGAGCCAAGACUAAGAGCAACCUCACCCCCUUCUUCGGCUCCUCCCUUGUGUCACCGGUGGUGAGCUUUUGCAAGAAUCCUCCGGCGGGGAUCCACGACGAGGCUCAUCACCGGGUCUCCUCGUUAUCCUCGCGUGGGAGCAGUGAUGUUGUCACAGCUGCUGUUGCAGCUGCUUGCGGCCGUGAUUUGGGUGAGGUGGUGGGGGACAGGAGGCUGCAAGGCGUUCGGGUAGUGAGGGGGGCCUGUGGCGGCGAGGAGAGGUGGGUGGUGAGAUGCUAUGGGCAUGCUUUGGAAGAGCAACACCAUGUCGUUUUUGAGAAGAUUGAUGUUGAUGCCAAAUUAAGUGAUUGCCAUCAAGUGAAAAAAGUGGAAGAUGGCGCUGAUCUUGGUUGGGGCAGCGACACUAGCUCUGAUCUGUUUGAGUUGGAUUUGGACGGUGCAAAUAAUCACUAG
rnacentral:rRNA from 1 species